rnacentral:rRNA from 2 species
AUACAUGCAAGUCGAACGAACUCUGGUAUUGAUUGGUGCUUGCAUCAUGAUUUACAUUUGAGUGAGUGGCGAACUGGUGAGUAACACGUGGGAAACCUGCCCAGAAGCGGGGGAUAACACCUGGAAACAGAUGCUAAUACCGCAUAACAACUUGGACCGCAUGGUCCGAGUUUGAAAGAUGGCUUCGGCUAUCACUUUUGGAUGGUCCCGCGGCGUAUUAGCUAGAUGGUGGGGUAACGGCUCACCAUGGCAAUGAUACGUAGCCGACCUGAGAGGGUAAUCGGCCACAUUGGGACUGAGACACGGCCCAAACUCCUACGGGAGGCAGCAGUAGGGAAUCUUCCACAAUGGACGAAAGUCUGAUGGAGCAACGCCGCGUGAGUGAAGAAGGGUUUCGGCUCGUAAAACUCUGUUGUUAAAGAAGAACAUAUCUGAGAGUAACUGUUCAGGUAUUGACGGUAUUUAACCAGAAAGCCACGGCUAACUACGUGCCAGCAGCCGCGGUAAUACGUAGGUGGCAAGCGUUGUCCGGAUUUAUUGGGCGUAAAGCGAGCGCAGGCGGUUUUUUAAGUCUGAUGUGAAAGCCUUCGGCUCAACCGAAGAAGUGCAUCGGAAACUGGGAAACUUGAGUGCAGAAGAGGACAGUGGAACUCCAUGUGUAGCGGUGAAAUGCGUAGAUAUAUGGAAGAACACCAGUGGCGAAGGCGGCUGUCUGGUCUGUAACUGACGCUGAGGCUCGAAAGUAUGGGUAGCAAACAGGAUUAGAUACCCUGGUAGUCCAUACCGUAAACGAUGAAUGCUAAGUGUUGGAGGGUUUCCGCCCUUCAGUGCUGCAGCUAACGCAUUAAGCAUUCCGCCUGGGGAGUACGGCCGCAAGGCUGAAACUCAAAGGAAUUGACGGGGGCCCGCACAAGCGGUGGAGCAUGUGGUUUAAUUCGAAGCUACGCGAAGAACCUUACCAGGUCUUGACAUACUAUGCAAAUCUAAGAGAUUAGACGUUCCCUUCGGGGACAUGGAUACAGGUGGUGCAUGGUUGUCGUCAGCUCGUGUCGUGAGAUGUUGGGUUAAGUCCCGCAACGAGCGCAACCCUUAUUAUCAGUUGCCAGCAUUAAGUUGGGCACUCUGGUGAGACUGCCGGUGACAAACCGGAGGAAGGUGGGGAUGACGUCAAAUCAUCAUGCCCCUUAUGACCUGGGCUACACACGUGCUACAAUGGAUGGUACAACGAGUUGCGAACUCGCGAGAGUAAGCUAAUCUCUUAAAGCCAUUCUCAGUUCGGAUUGUAGGCUGCAACUCGCCUACAUGAAGUCGGAAUCGCUAGUAAUCGCGGAUCAGCAUGCCGCGGUGAAUACGUUCCCGGGCCUUGUACACACCGCCCGUCACACCAUGAGAGUUUGUAACACCCAAAGUCGGUGGGGUAACCUUUUAGGAACCAGCCGCCUAAGGUGGGUA